rnacentral:rRNA from 1 species
UACAGAGGGGGCAAGCGUUGUUCGGAAUUACUGGGCGUAAAGGGCGCGUAGGCGGCCUUCUAAGUCGAACGUGAAAUCCCCGGGCUCAACCCGGGAACUGCGUCCGAUACUGAAAGGCUUGAAUCCGGGAGAGGGAUGUGGAAUUCCAGGUGUAGCGGUGAAAUGCGUAGAUAUCUGGAGGAACACCGAUGGCGAAGGCAGCCUCCUGGGCCAAUACUGACGCUCAUGCACGAAAGCGUGGGGAGCAAACAGG